rnacentral:rRNA from 1 species
GAUCCUGGCUCGGGAUGAACGCUAGCUACGGGCUUAACACAUGCAAGUCGAGGGGCAGCAUGGUCUUAGCUUGCUAAGGCCGAUGGCGACCGGCGCACGGGUGAGUAACACGUAUCCAACCUGCCGUCUACUCUUGGACAGCCUUCUGAAAGGAAGAUUAAUACAAGAUGGCAUCAUGAGUUCACAUGUUCACAUGAUUAAAGGUAUUCCGGUAGACGAUGGGGAUGCG